CAGCAGCCGCGGUAAUACGUAGGAUGCGAGCGUUAAUAGGAAUUACUGGGCGUAAAGCGUGCGCAGGCGGUUGUGUAAGACAGGUGUGAAAUCCCCGGGCUUAACCUGGGAACUGCGCUUGUGACUGCACAGCUAGAGUAUGGCAGAGGGGGGUGGAAUUCCACGUGUAGCAGUGAAAUGCGUAGAGAUGUGGAGGGACACCGAUGGCGAAGGCAGCCCCCUGGGCCAAUACUGACGCUCAUGCACGAAAGCGUGGGGAGCAAACAGGAUUAGAUACCCCGGUAGUCCCUGUCUCUUAUAA
rnacentral:rRNA from 1 species